AACGAACGCUGGCGGCAUGCCUAACACAUGCAAGUCGAACGAGACCUUCGGGUCUAGUGGCGCACGGGUGCGUAACGCGUGGGAACCUGCCCUUAGGUUCGGAAUAACUCCCCGAAAGGGGUGCUAAUACCGGAUAAUGUCUUCGGACCAAAGAUUUAUCGCCUUUGGAUGGGCCCGCGUUGGAUUAGCUAGUUGGUAGGGUAAAAGCCUACCAAGGCGACGAUCCAUAGCUGGUCUGAGAGGAUGAUCAGCCACACUGGGACUGAGACACGGCCGAGACUCCUACGGGAGGCAGCAGUGGGGAAUAUUGGACAAUGGGCGAAAGCCUGAUCCAGCAAUGCCGCGUGAGUGAUGAAGGCCUUAGGGUUGUAAAGCUCUUUUACCCGGGAUGAUAAUGACAGUACCGGGAGAAUAGGCUCCGGCUAACUCCGUG
rnacentral:rRNA from 1 species